GAGCUUUGUAUUACAAAGGGGCACUGUAUAUCCCUGAAGGAGACUUAAGGGGGAGGGUACUCAAGCAGUUGCACGACAGCCCUACGGCGGGGCAUUUUGGACAACACAAAACCAUGUGGUUGGUCACCAGGGAAUUUUGGUGGCCUAAGGUGAGGGAAGAUGUACGUGAGUAUGUAAGAGGGUGCGAGCAAUGCCAGCGAGCCAAAGGGGAAAGGCGGGCGCCGGCGGGGCUAUUAGAACCCUUACCAACCCCAGAACGACCUUGGGAGGCAGUGUCGAUAGAUUUUAUGACUGAUCUGCCGAAGUCCAAAGGGAAAACAGCCAUCAUGGUGGUGGUAGACCUACUAACAAAGAUGUGCCACUUUGUAGCUUGCUCGCAUGCAGUCACGGCGGAAGAGACAGCGAAGUUAUUUGUAGAACACAUUUUUAGGUUGCACGGGGUGCCAUUGAGGGUGGUCUCAGACCGAGGAAAACAAUUUACUUCCAGGUUCUGGAGGAAGCUCAUGAGCUUACUGCAGGUGGAGGUCAAUUUUUCGACUGCCCGGCACCCUGAAACCAACGGGCAGGCGGAAAGAGCAAACGGUGUCCUCCAGCAAUACCUGAGGUGUUAUGUCAAUGACAGAGAGAAUGACUGGGUAGAAAAGUUGGCGCUGGCGGAAUUUGCCUACAAUAAUGCCGAGAAUGUGUCCACAGGGAUGAGCCCCUUCUUGGCUAAUUAUGGGUGUCAUCCCAGGGCUUUCCCAGGGGAGAUGGGGAGAGAUGGAGCGUCCCGGCAGCCGAGCAUUUUGUGGAAGAAAUGGAAGCAAUCCAUCGUCAGCUCCAACUCAACUUAGAAAGGGCGAAGGAAGAAUACAAGAGGCAGGCAGACAAGAACCGAAGGGAAGGUGAAACCAUAAGGGUGGGAGAUAGGGUGUGGCUGUCAACCCAAGGGUUGCCGUUCAAAGGAGGUUGUAAGAAAUUAAGACCCAGGAGGUUGGGUCCCUUUGAGGUCAUUCAACAGGUCAACCCAGUGGCUUUCAGGCUCCGGUUACCCAACCACAUGAAACUGCACCCAGUAUUUCACAGGUCGUUACUGUCACCGUACGAAGGGGACGAGAAGGGAUGGCCACUCGGGGACCGGUCAUAGAAGAAAGAGAAUGCAGCAGCCAUGUGGCAGAAAUCCUCGACGCCAGGUGGAAGGGGAAUCAGGUGGAGUAUUUGGUAGCGUGGGAAGGAGAACCGGAGUCAGAAAACACUUGGGUAAUGGCCGAAGAUAUCAAUGACGAGGUAUUGAUAGAAACGUUCCAUCAAAGGUUCCCAAGGAAACCUCAGCCUGUGGAGAGGUUCCGGAGGGAAUACUUUGGGACCACUGAUGAGGAGGAGGAGUUGGAAGGAUUCCCGGACUCGGAAGGGGAAGGGGAGAUGGACUCUGAGGAGGAGGAGUACUUCGAGACCAGGAACCGCAACAGGUGGAGAGAAGUGUUCGAGACAUCGGAAGAUGAAGGAAGUUCAUUCCGGGGUUUGCCUCCUCACCGCCCGUAGAGGAGGGGGCGAGAGGGGGUGAAAGGGGCCCUGGAGGGGAGGUGGAUGUCAGGGAACUGCCAUCGGAAGGAAGGGAGGUGAAAGGGCUCACACAGGUUGGGAGAGACUCAGCAGCUGAAGAGGGAACCAGUAGGGGGAGAGGAGCUGAGCUGAGGGAAAGUGAGCUGGAGGGAUGGCUCAGAGACACUUCCAGCGAAAACAGUGGGGAGGUUUCAGGACCUCCUGUAGGAACACCCACUCCUCGCCGGAAACUGUCACGCAGAGAGUCCAGAAGACGUGUUUCCGUUAAGGAGCUUUUAUGUUGGAAGCGAUUCCGAAAGCAACCACUGUCGGAAUCUGCUAGUGACUAGAGGAGCCAUGUCUGAGGGGCUCCGUCACAGACAGAGGUUUGUGGACUUGAACAAACUCUGAGGGAUACUAUUUUACGCACAAGCAGCUCAUCAUCCCAUCACA
rnacentral:lncRNA from 1 species